rnacentral:rRNA from 1 species
CUUCACGUCUAAAAACCCUAAAGUUACCAGAUCCUAUCUGAUAUUGAAGCUAAGCAGGGUCAGCCCUGGUUAGUACUUGGAUAGGAGAUUGCCAAUUAAUGCCAGGUGCUGUGGAUU